rnacentral:rRNA from 1 species
CAGUCGCCACGGGAAUACGUAGGGUGCAAGCGUUAAUCGGAAUUACUGGGCGUAAAGCGUGCGCAGGCGGUUUUGUAAGACAGAGGUGAAAUCCCCGGGCUCAACCUGGGAACUGCCUUUGUGACUGCAAGGCUAGAGUACGGCAGAGGGGGAUGGAAUUCCGCGUGUAGCAGUGAAAUGCGUAGAUAUGCGGAGGAACACCGAUGGCGAAGGCAAUCCCCUGGGCCUGUACUGACGCUCAUGCACGAAAGCGUGGGGAGCAAACAGGAUUAGAUACCCCGGUAGUCCCUGUCUCUUAUAC